GUAGGUGAACCUGCGGAAGGAUCAUUACUCUGACCGUCGGGGGCCGGCCGGGGAAAGUGGCCUAAAUAGUGACCCACUGCAGGGCUUUGGGCCCAGUGGUGAAGUCAUGGUCGCUUUUCCUACCCGCCCUGUCUGAAUCCGUGUUUUUUGUGCACCAAUUGUUUCCUCGGCAGGCUCGCCUGCCAGUAGGACCCUAUUAAACCCUUUGUAGUAGCAGUCAGCGUCAGAAAAACUUAAUAGUUACAACUUU
rnacentral:misc_RNA from 1 species